GACGUAGGGGGCCAGCGUUGUUCGGAAUUACUGGGUGUAAAGGGUUCGUAGGCGGUGCGGCAAGUUGGGAGUGAAAUCUCUGGGCUUAACCCAGAGGCUGCUUCCAAAACUGCUGUGCUUGAGUGUGGGAGAGGCGCGUGGAAUUGCAGGUGUAGCGGUGAAAUGCGUAGAUAUCAGGAGGAACACCGGUGGCGAAGGCGGAUCUCUGGGCCAUUACUGACGCUGAGGAGCGAAAGCGUGGGGAGCGAACAGG
rnacentral:rRNA from 1 species